GACGAACGCUGGCGGCGUGCUUAACACAUGCAAGUCGAACGGAAAGGCCCUGCUUGCAGGGUACUCGAGUGGCGAACGGGUGAGUAACACGUGGGUGAUCUGCCCUGCACUUCGGGAUAAGCCUGGGAAACUGGGUCUAAUACCUGAUAGGAGCCAUUUUUAGUGUGAUGGUUGGAAAGUUUUUUCGGUGUAGGAUGAGCUCGCGGCCUAUCAGCUUGUUGGUGGGGUAAUGGCCUACCAAGGCGGCGACGGGUAGCCGGCCUGAGAGGGUGGACGGCCACAUUGGGACUGAGAUACGGCCCAGACUCCUACGGGAGGCAGCAGUGGGGAAUAUUGCACAAUGGGCGCAAGCCUGAUGCAGCGACGCCGCGUGGGGGAGGACGGCCUUCGGGUUGUAAACUCCUUUCGCUAGGGACGAAGCUUUUUGUGACGGUACCUAGAGAAGAAGCACCGGCUAACUACGUG
rnacentral:rRNA from 1 species